AGACAUUUGAACUCUGGUGAACAGAAAGGAAAGCUUUGUCUCCUCUGACCACAGAAAGGAAGCCGUGGAUUUGAGAACCAUGCUGUCUUCAUGUCAAGAUUGGAGAUCCUACUGGUCCUGCCAAAUAAAUAGGUGGGGUUGAACGGUGCCCUCUAGACUUAGAUCUGGGGUCAAAGCCCUCCAUGGCCACAGGUCAGCCAACCCUGGUGCCCGCCGUUCCAGAUCACAUUUCUCCUUUGGACUCAACUCUCCCAAGAAGGCUGUGCCACAGGCCGACUACCCCUCAGUCUCUGCCCGGUUUCUCUGGAGACAAGACUGUCACCACCCCCACAAUGCCGUGUUUGUAGAUCCGGAUGGCAGGAGUCCAGACCCAAACCUGGGAACAGAUCACCAUUGGUGGCAUUUGCCUGUGAGGUGACCCAUAAACACCUUGAUCCGCCCCCUCCACUCUGGUUAACUUGUCGCCAGAUUUGCAAAAGAAGCCCACUUGGCGAGGAUGGCAGGGUGUGGGUCUGUUUUCACAGCGAGGAGAAGCAGCUUCACACAGCAUCUCACAGCUGCAAGGACAUCAGAUUCCUGCGGCAGGUGUCUCUGGAUAUGUUUCUUCUAGAUGGUGGUCAUUAAAGCCAGACGUGGGCCUCUGCAGACUUGUGGGAGGGUGCAGCUUGGACAUGGGGGCUGCUGAUGCUGCUGGCACUGGAAGGAGUUGGCUCUCCCAGCAAAGACGGAGGUGCUCGCAAGUUGGAUCUCAUGCUUCGUGUGUCUGUCCUGGUUCCUGAGAUGUGGUCUUCAGCAUCAGGGGAGGAGGCUCUUUCCUGGAAUAUUGUCAAGCGAGCAAAAUUGAGAUUCCAUCAGCCGGGAAGAGGAGGAUCGGAAAGGGACAUGGGAUGGGCACUUCGUACUGUUUGCCCCAAGUGAUUGACACCCUUCCAGAGUCCAAUCACUUCCUUUUCUGAUGGUAACAACGCUCUGACUUGCUUUUGGAGAACAGACCUCUACCAACGACCGGGCAUGGUCUGUGUCAACUUCUCUGGGCCACUGUGAUCGAUUCAAGGACAGGCAGGAGCCGAGACCAGGUGCCCAAGCCAGGAGGUUCGACUUCUGAGAUUUUGAGGAUCCCAGGAGGAGGGAAGUGGCCUUCCCACUAGGAAGUGCAGACAUGAGACAGUUUUCAGACCCAAACUGACUACAGAAGAGGCCAAGUUUCCAUGGACACAGCAGCCAGGACUCUGACCUGAUAAGGCUGCUACAGAGACCUGCCACUGCCGAAUGCCCAUCUUCUGCUAACAGGGAUCAGUGCUAAGCUCCUGAUAUGUCAUCAUCUCUUGAGAAGACAGACCAACCACUUGGCGUCAAGUUGAUUGCACUAAACCUGUUUUACUUGGAAGGCAGAAUGAUUCAUCUUGCCUACAAUGGACACAUAUUCCAGGUACAAGUUUGUCUUUCCUGACUUUAGGGUCUCAGUCAGCACCACCAACUGAGGGGCUCAGUGUUUGACCCACCAACAUGGGAUCCCAUGUAACAGCACCAUGAGUCAAGGAACCCACGGAACAGCACAGGAGAUGGAGAAGCAGGGAUGUGCUUAUGGGAUCCACUUGCCCCAUGAAACUUUCCAUUACUCAGAGGGUGCCAGACUGAGGGAGCAAUGGAGUCCUCUUUUGAAGGCAAGAUGGAGGCAUCAAAUUGGAGAUGAUCCCCUGAGAGGGCGCGUCCUCCAGAAGGUGACAGACACCAUGAAGGUAUAACCACUGUAUCUCAUGGCUCCACUAGGUACAAUGUAUUACAUGGGCCUGGAAACCAAGGGGGGACGGCGGGCAGGGCUCUACUGACCAUCACUUUCCAAGAUGUACCAUUUAAACCAUUUGCAGAGAAUGUGAGUAUAAAUAC